CCUACGGGUGGCAGCAGUGAGGAAUAUUGGUCAAUGGCCGGGAGGCUGAACCAGCCAAGUAGCGUGCAGGAUGACGGCCCUACGGGUUGUAAACUGCUUUUAUACGGGAAUAACGCGCCUUACGUGUAGGGCUUUGCAUGUACCGUAUGAAUAAGGACCGGCUAAUUCCGUGCCAGCAGCCGCGGUAAUACGGAAGGUCCGGGCGUUAUCCGGAUUUAUUGGGUUUAAAGGGAGCGUAGGCCGCAUGUCAAGCGUGCUGUGAAAUGUCCGGGCUCAACCCGGGCCUUGCAGCGCGAACUGGCGUGCUUGAGUCCGCGGAAAGCAGGCGGAAUUCGUCGUGUAGCGGUGAAAUGCUUAGAUAUGACGAAGAACCCCGAUUGCGAAGGCAGCUUGCUGCAGCGGAACUGACGCUGAUGCUCGAAAGCGCGGGUAUCGAACAGGAUUAGAUACCCGAGUAGUC
rnacentral:rRNA from 1 species